AGAGUUUGAUCAUGGCUCAGGAUGAACGCUGGCGGUAUGCUUUACACAUGCAAGUCGUACGAGAGUUUUUAACUCAAGUGGCGGACGGGUGAGUAACACGUAAGAAUUUGCCUUUAGGAGGGGGACAACAACUGGAAACGGUUGCUAAUACCCCAUAUGCUUUCGAGUGAAACGGUUUUUCCGCCUAAAGAGAAGCUUGCGGCUGAUUAGCUUGUUGGUAAGGUAAUGGCUUACCAAGGCGACGAUCAGUAUCUGGUUUGAGAGGACGAUCAGACACACUGGAACUGAGACACGGUCCAGACUCCUACGGGAGGCAGCAGUGGGGAAUUUUCCGCAAUGGGCGAAAGCCUGACGGAGCAAUACCGCGUGAGGGAUGAAUGCCUAUGGGUUGUAAACCUCUUUUUUCAGGGAGGAACAAAAUGACGUGUACCUGAAGAAUAAGCAUCGGCUAACUCCGUGCCAGCAGCCGCGGUAAGACGGAGGAUGCAAGUGUUAUCCGGAAUCACUGGGCGUAAAGCGUCUGUAGGUGGUUUAAUAAGUCAACUGUUAAAUCUUGAGGCUCAACCUCGAAACCGCAGUCGAAACUAUUAGACUAGAGUAUAGUAGGGGUAAAGGGAAUUUCCAGUGGAGCGGUGAAAUGCGUAGAGAUUGGAAAGAACACCGAUGGCGAAGGC
rnacentral:rRNA from 1 species